UGCCUGUAAGCGGGGAAUAACCCGUUGAAAGACGGACUAAUACCGCAUAAUACUAAAUUACUGCAUGGUAAUUUAUUUAAACAUUUAUGGCUUACAGAUGGGCAUGCGCAUGAUUAGCUAGUUGGAGAGGUAACGGCUCCCCAAGGCAACGAUCAUUAGGGGUUCUGAGAGGAAGGUCCCCCACACUGGUACUGAGACACGGACCAGACUCCUACGGGAGGCAGCAGUGAGGAAUAUUGGUCAAUGGACGAGAGUCUGAACCAGCCAAGUCGCGUGCAGGAAGAAUGUCCUUAAUGGAUUGUAAACUGCUUUUGCAGGGGAAUAAAGUGCAUCACGUGUGAUGUUUUGUAUGUACUCUGCGAAUAAGGAUCGGCUAACUCCGUGCCAGCCGCAGC
rnacentral:rRNA from 1 species